rnacentral:rRNA from 1 species
CGAACGCUGGCGGCGUGCUUAACACAUGCAAGUCGAACGGAAAGGCCCUGCUUGCAGGGUACUCGAGUGGCGAACGGGUGAGUAACACGUGGGUGAUCUGCCCUGCACUUCGGGAUAAGCCUGGGAAACUGGGUCUAAUACCGGAUAGGAGCCAUUUUUAGUGUGAUGGUUGGAAAGUUUUUUCGGUGUAGGAUGAGCUCGCGGCCUAUCAGCUUGUUGGUGGGGUAAUGGCCUACCAAGGCGGCGACGGGUAGCCGGCCUGAGAGGGUGGACGGCCACAUUGGGACUGAGAUACGGCCCAGACUCCUACGGGAGGCAGCAGUGGGGAAUAUUGCACAAUGGGCGCAAGCCUGAUGCAGCGACGCCGCGUGGGGGAGGACGGCCUUCGGGUUGUAAACUCCUUUCGCUAGGGACGAAGCUUUUUGUGACGGUACCUAGAUAAGAAGCACCGGCUAACUACGUG